GUGGCUGGUUCAUUCCUAAGGAUGAUUUUUCCACUUGACGCAACCGACAGAAGGACAUGUGCUUCUGCUUCAAGCUACUCUGCACAGAGCAGCACCUUUGCUUAAAGCUACCUUCAUUAGUGGUUUACAAUGUCUCUCACUGGGUUAACUUAAAGUCAUGAUUGCUUGUCAAGGACAGGUCAGGAUCCAGAUAUCACAAACUGAGCAUAAGUCUAUGGUUAUAAUCACUAAUGUGGAGGAACAGAGAUCAGGCUGUUCUGUGGCUCUCUAGGACUCAUAGAAUCAUAAAAUAUCCUGAGUUUGAAGGGACCCACAAGGAUCAUCAAGUCUGAUGUGAAACUCAACCCUUUGGCUAAAGAGAAUUUAGAAGAUGCUGGCUUCAAUUGGAACCUGAUAUAUGACACCAUACAGUGGCAUAUCCAAACAGAAAUCAGGUUUUCAGCUGAAGAUUAGUCAGUUCUUAGGCAUCAUUUUUCAUAAAUUUUAAAUAA